UCUUUUACAUUUGCUGAGGAGAGCUUUACUUCCAACUAUGUGGUCAAUUUUGGAAUAGGUGUGGUGUGGUGCUGAGAAGAAUGUAUAUUCUGUUGAUUUGGGGUGGAGAGCUCUGUAGAUGUCUAUUAGGUCUGCUUGGUGCAGAGCUGAGUUCAAUUCCUGGAUAUCCUUGUUAACUUUCUGUCUUGUUGAUCUGCCUAAUGUUGACGGUAGGGUGUUAAUUUCUCCCAUUAUUAUUGUCUGGCAGUCUAAGUCUCUUUGUAGGUCACUCAGGACUUGCUUUAUGAAUCUGGGUGCUGCUGUAUUGGGUGCAUAUAUAUUUAGGAUAGUUAGUUCUUCUUGUUGAAUUGAUCCCUUUACCAUUAUGUAAUGGCCGUCUUUGUCUCUUUUGAUCUUUGUUGGUUUAACGUCUGUUUUAUCCGAGACUAGGAUUGCAACCCCUGCCUUUUUUUUGUUUUCCAUUUGCUUGAUAGAUCUUCCUCCAUUCCUUUAUUUUGAGCCUAUGUGUGUCUCUGCACGUGAGAUGUGUUUCCUGAAUACAGCACACUGAUGGGUCUUGACUCUUUAUCCAAUUUGCCAGUCUGUGCCUUUUAAUUGGAGCAUUUAGCCCAUUUACAUUUAAGGUUAGUAUUGUUAUGUGUGAAUUUGGUCCUGUCAUUAUGAUGUUAGCUGGUUAUUUUGCUCGUUAGUUGAUGCAGUUUCUUCCUAGCCUUGAUGGUCUUUACAAUUUGGCCUGUUUUUACAGUGGCUGGUACUGGUUGUUCUUUCCAUGUUUAGUGCUUCCUUCAGGAGCUCUUUUAAGGCAGGCCUGGUGGUGACAAAAUCUUGAGAGCUUUUUAUUGUGAAAGAGCAUGGAAUUUCAUCAAAUAAUUUUGUUUGCCUCCAUUGAGAUAAUCAUGAGAUUUUUUUUUACCCUUCAUACUGUUAAUUUGGUAUAUUACAUUGGUUUUUGUAUGUUGAACCAUCCUUGCACCACAGGGUUAAAUCCCAAAUGGUUAUGGUAUAUGAUUCUUUUAAUGUGCUGUUGAAUCCAGUUUGUUAGUAUUUUAUUGAAGAUUUUUGCAUCUAUCUUUAUCAAGGAUAUUGGCUUAUAGUUUUGUUUUCUUGUGGUGUCUUGUUCUGGUUUUGAUAUCAAGGUAAUGCUUGCCUCAUAAAAUGAGUUUGAAAGUGUUCCUUCUUAUUGAGUAUUUUGAAAGAAUUUGAGAGCAAUUGGUACAAAUUAUUUAUUAGAUGUUAGGUAAAUCUUUCCAGUGAAGGCAUCAGGUCCUGGGCCUUUCUUUGUUGGGAGUUUUCUGAUUCUGGUUUCAAUCUUAUUGUUAGUUAUAAGUCUUUCUAUUUCUUCAUGAUUGAGUCUUGGGAGGUGAUAUGUUUCUAAGAAUGUAUCCAUUUCUUAUAAGUUAUCUAACUUGUUGGCAUAAAAUUGUUUGCAGUAGUCUCCUGUAACCUUUUUAUUUCUGUGGCAACAGUUGGAAUGUUUCCCCUUUAAUUUCUGAUUUUAUUUAUUUAUUUGUCUUUUCUCCUUUUUUUCUUAGUCUAGCUAAAGGUUUGUCAAUUUUGUCUUUCAAAAAGCCAACCUGAGUUUCAUUGAUGUUUUUCUAUUGUUAUUUUAUUCUCUAUCUUGUUUCCUUCUGCUGUAAUCUGUAUUAUUUCCUUCUUCUGAUAACUGUGGGUUUAAUUUGUUUUUAUUAUUCUAGUUCCUUGUGGUAUAGAGUUAGGUUUUUUAUUUGUGGUUUUUCUUCUUUUUAAUGUAGGCAUUCAUUGCUAUAAACUUCCCUUUUACCACUAUUUUUGCUGUAUCUCAGGAGUUUUGGUAUGCUGUACUUUCAUUGUUGUUUGUGUCAGGUGUUUUUUAUAUCCCCUUUUGAUUUUUUUUUGACCCACUUGUUUGAAAAUGCAUUAUUUAAUUUCCACAUAUUUAUGAAUUUUCAUCAACAUACAAAAAUCAGUUGCAUUUCUAUAUACUAAUAAACUAUCUGUAAAGGAAAUGAGGAAAACAAUCCUAUUUACAUUAGCAUCAAAAAAUACUUGUGAAUAAGCUUAACUAAGCAAGUGAAAUACUUGUUCACUGAAAAUUACAAAACAUUGAUGAAAGAAAUUAAUGAAGACACAAACAAAUGGAAAGACAUUCUGUGUUCAUGGAUUGGAAGGCUUAAUAUUGUUACAAUGUUUAUACUACCUGUUAUGGUUUUCAUGUUUGUGUUCCCUCCAAAAUUCUUGUUGAAACUUAAUGCUCAAUGCAACAGCAUUAAGAGGGGGGCCCCUCAGAAGUGAUUAAGCUAUAAAGGCUUCACCCUCAUGAAUGAACUACUGACUUAAUAAAGAGGCAGACAGGGACCCCCUUUGUCCCUUCUGUCAUGUGAAGACACAACAUACUUACUCUGCAGAGGAUUUAGCAAGAAGGCAUCGUCUUUGAAGCAAAUAGUAGCACUCAUAAGACACUGAGUCUACUGGUGCCUUGAUCUUGAAGUUCUCAGCCUUCAGAGCUGUGAGAAAUAAAUUUCUUUUGUUUGCAAAUUA
rnacentral:lncRNA from 1 species